rnacentral:rRNA from 1 species
GAUGAACGCUGGCGGCGUGCCUAAUACAUGCAAGUCGAACGAGGUUUUGACGAAUGAACGAUGUGCUUGCACGGAGUGAUUUUGUUAACACCGAGUGGCGGACGGGUGAGUAACACGUGGGUAACCUGCCCUUAAGUGGGGGAUAACAUUUGGAAACAGAUGCUAAUACCGCAUAAACCCAAGGAUCACAUGGUCUUUGGUUGAAAGAUGGCGCAAGCUAUCGCUUUUGGAUGGACCCGCGGCGUAUUAGCUAGUUGGUAAGGUAACGGCCUACCAAGGCAAUGAUACGUAGCCGAACUGAGAGGUUGAUCGGCCACAAUGGGACUGAGACACGGCCCAUACUCCUACGGGAGGCAGCAGUAGGGAAUCUUCCACAAUGGACGCAAGUCUGAUGGAGCAACGCCGCGUGAGUGAAGAAGGCUUUCGGGUCGUAAAACUCUGUUGUUGGAGAAGAACACGUUUGAGAGCAACUGUUCAGACGUUGACGGUAUCCAACCAGAAAGCCACGGCUAACUACGUGCCAGCAGCCGCGGUAAUACGUAGUGGCAAGCGUUAUCCGGAUUUAUUGGGCGUAAAGCGAGCGCA